CUUCUUUUCUUUUCCAAGUGCUUAUCAGAGUUAUAUUUACUUUCAAUAUUUGGCAAAUUGUUCGAUUAAUUAAAACCAAAAUAAAUAUUGCCAAAAAGAACCCAAAGUAAGAAAGAAGGCUUUUUAACGACUCUCAAAAGGAAAAACAAUAACAACAUCCUCUUCAGAGAAAAGGUAACUUUAUUAGCCUUCAGGAAAUGAACAAAAGAGGCAGAAAAUAAAUUUAAGAAGAUUCUGGCUCCAGGCAAGUCCCUCACUCUCCACUGAGAAAGAAACAGAUCAAGCUCAUCCAAAUCAGACAGCCUACAGGAAAGGAAGAUGCCUGCCUGAGGACGAGUGCCAUUUACUUAAGUAUUCCCUUUGGUUAUUUUCAUUAACUGGCUUCCAAAUCAAUGUGGUUGCUGAGCAAUGGCCAUGGAAUAAUAGCCUGGAAAUAGCAGAAGAGAAUGAUGACCCCACCUCUUUUACGUCCUGUGAAAUUGAAAAGUCCUCUUUUCAACCAUUUAAAAAUGGAAAAACCGGGAGACCGACUCAAGAAGGCGUGGUGAGAACAACCCAGGAUUGAAGCUCUCGGUGAACGCGCAGAGGGGACAAGAAUGAAUCUGGAGAACAUCAUCCUCAGCAAACUGACACAAGAACAGAAAAUGAAACACCACAUAUUCUCACUCAUAGGUGGGUGAUGAAAAAUGAGAACACAUAGACACAGAAGGGGGAGUACUAAACACUGGGGUCUAUUGGGGGGAAAAGGGGAGGGCCAGUGGGAGGGGGAGGUGGGGAGGGAUAGCCUGGGGAGAAAUGCCAAAUGUGGGUGAAGGGGAGAAGAAAAGCAAAGCACACUGCCAUGUGUGUACCUACGCAACUGUCUUGCAUGCUCUGCUCAUGUACCCCAAAACCUGAAAUCCAAUAAAAAAUUAAAAAAAAAAUCCCUUGAGGUAAAAAAUAAAUAAAUAAAUAAAUUUGAAGAAUGAAUGAGGUAAGUUCUAUCAUCAGAUAAAUU
rnacentral:lncRNA from 1 species